rnacentral:rRNA from 1 species
UACGUAGGGUGCUAGCGUUGUCCGGAUUUAUUGGGCGUAAAGAGCUCGUAGGCGGUUUGUCGCGUCUGCUGUGAAAACUGGGGGCUCAACCCCCAGCCUGCAGUGGGUACGGGCAGACUAGAGUGCAGUAGGGGAGACUGGAAUUCCUGGUGUAGCGGUGAAAUGCGCAGAUAUCAGGAGGAACACCGAUGGCGAAGGCAGGUCUCUGGGCUGUAACUGACGCUGAGGAGCGAAAGCAUGGGGAGCGAACAGG